UUAAAAAGCUCGUAGUUGGAUUUCGGAAGGUCUUUAGUGGUCCGCCCCUUCGGGGAGCGGGUCACUGGCCUCCUAUGUUCCUAACGGUCCUCAUCCGCGAGGGUGGGGAAUCAACCGCUAGGAUCGUUUACUUUGAGGAAAUUAGAGUGUUCAAAGCAGGCGUAACUCGCCUCCGAAUACGUUAGCAUGGGAUAAUGGAAUACGACUUCGGUCUUGUUUCGUUGGUUUCGCUUGGCUGAAGUAAUGAUUGAUAGGGACAGUUGGGGGCAUUAGUAUUUAGUUGUCAGAGGUGAAAUUCUAGGAUUUACUAAAGACUGACCAAUGCGAAAGCAUUUGCCAAGGAUGUUUUCAUUAAUCAAGAACGAAAGUAGGGGGAUCGAAGACGAUCAGAUACCGUCGUAGUCUCUACCGUAAACUAUGCCGACCAGGGAUCCGGAGAGUUUGCAUGGAUGACUCCCCGGGCACCUUGUGAGAAAUCAUAAGUGUUUGGGUUUUGGGGGGAGUAUGGUCGCAAGGCUGAAACUUAAAGGAAUUGACGGAAGGGCACCACCAGGAGUGGAACCUGCGGCUUAAUUUGACUCAACACGGGGAAACUUACGAGGUCAGGACACUGUGAGGAUUGACAGAUUGAAAG
rnacentral:rRNA from 1 species